rnacentral:rRNA from 1 species
UACGUAGGGCGCGAGCGUUGUCCGGAAUUAUUGGGCGUAAAGAGCUCGUAGGCGGCCUGUCGCGUCAAUUGUGAAAGCCCGGGGCUCAACCCCGGGUCUGCAGUCGGUACGGGCAGGCUAGAGUUCGGUAGGGGAGAUCGGAAUUCCUGGUGUAGCGGUGAAAUGCGUAGAUAUUGGGAAGAACACCGGUGGCGAAAGCGCGCGACUGGACCUGAACUGACACUGAGGGACGAAAGCUAGGGGAGCGAAAGGG